GUGUUGUAUGAAAGAAGAAAAUGUUAGCCUUCCCCUUAACAAGGAUGGAAGAGGUCCUCGGGCCUGACAACACACAAAUCAUUAAGGAAGGCAUUGCUACCUACUACCUAAGUGUUCUAAUCUG
rnacentral:ncRNA from 1 species